UACGUAGGUGGCAAGCGUUAUCCGGAUUUACUGGGUGUAAAGGGCGUGUAGGCGGUUUAGUAAGUCAGAUGUGAAAUUCCCGGGCUUAACCCGGUAGCUGCAUCUGAAACUACAAAACUUGAGUACUGGAGAGGAUAGUGGAAUUCCUAGUGUAGCGGUAAAAUGCGUAGAUAUUAGGAGGAACACCAGUGGCGAAGGCGACUAUCUGGACAGUAACUGACGCUGAGGCGCGAAAGCGUGGGGAGCAAACAGG
rnacentral:rRNA from 1 species